rnacentral:rRNA from 1 species
UGGGGAAUAUUGGACAAUGGGGGCAACCCUGAUCCAGCAAUACCGCGUGUGUGAAGAAGGCCUUCGGGUUGUAAAGCACUUUAGGUGGGGAAGAAGGUAUGUAGUUUAAGAGAUGACAUACUUGACUGUACCCGCAGAAUAAGCACCGGCUAACUCUGUGCCAGCAGCCGCGGUAAUACAGAGGGUGCAAGCGUUAAUCGGAGUUACUGGGCGUAAAGGGCGCGUAGGCGGUCAAAUAAGUUGGAUGUGAAAUCCCUGGGCUUAACCUAGGAACUGCAUUCAGUACUGUGUGACUAGAGUAUUGUAGAGGGUAGUGGAAUUUCCGGUGUAGCGGUGAAAUGCGUAGAGAUCGGAAGGAACACCAGUGGCGAAGGCGGCUACCUGGACAAAUACUGACGCUGAGGCGCGAAAGCGUGGGGAGCAAACAG